GUGCCAGCAGCCGCGGUAAUACAGAGGGUGCAAGCGUUAAUCGGAAUUACUGGGCGUAAAGCGCGCGUAGGCGGUUGUAUAAGUUGGAUGUGAAAUCCCCGGGCUUAACCUGGGCACUGCAUUCAAAACUGUACGGCUAGAGUGUAGGAGAGGAAGGUAGAAUUCCAGGUGUAGCGGUGAAAUGCGUAGAUAUCUGGAGGAAUACCGAUGGCGAAGGCAGCCUUCUGGCCUAACACUGACGCUGAGGUGCGAAAGCAUGGGGAGCAAACAGGAUUAGAUACCCUGGUAGUCCAUGCCGUAAACGAUGUCUACUAGCCGUUGGGGGACUUGAUCCUUUAGUGGCGCAGCUAACGCAUUAAGUAGACCGCCUGGGGAGUACGGUCGCAAGACUAAA
rnacentral:rRNA from 1 species